GUCGAGAAUCUUUCACAAUGGGGGCAACCCUGAUGGAGCGACGCCGCGUGGAGGAUAAGGUCUUCGGAUUGUAAACUCCUGUCAUGCGUGAACAAGGUUGCUUGGUUAAUACCUGGGCAAAUUGAUGGUAACGCAAGAGGAAGAGACGGCUAACUCUGUGCCAGCAGCCGCGGUAAUACAGAGGUCUCAAGCGUUGUUCGGAAUCACUGGGCGUAAAGGGUGCGUAGGUGGCGUGGUAAGUCAGAUGUGAAAGCCCGGGGCUCAACCUCGGAACUGCAUCCGAUACUGCCAUGCCAGAGUACUGGAGAGGUGACUAGAAUUCUCGGUGUAGCAGUGAAAUGCGUAGAUAUCGAGAGGAAUACCAAAGGCGUAGGCAGGUCACUGGACAGUUACUGACACUGAGGCACGAAGGCCAGGGGAGCGAACGGGAUUAGAAACCCUGGUAGUCC
rnacentral:rRNA from 1 species